GUUUGAUCCUGGCUCAGGAUGAACGCUGGCGGCGUGCUUAACACAUGCAAGUCGAACGAUCCUUCGGGAUAGUGGCGGACGGGUGAGUAACGCGUGGGAAUCUGCCCUCAGGAGGGGGAUAACGGCUGGAAACGGCCGCUAAUACCCCAUAUGCCGAGAGGUGAAAUGAAUUUCGCCUGAGGAUGAGCCCGCGUCUGAUUAGCUAGUUGGUGGGGUAAAGGCCUACCAAGGCAACGAUCAGUAGCUGGUCUGAGAGGAUGAUCAGCCACACUGGGACUGAGACACAGCCCAGACUCCUACGGGAGGCAGCAGUGGGGAAUUUUCCGCAAUGGGCGAAAGCCUGACGGAGCAACGCCGCGUGAGGGAUGAAGGCCUCUGGGCUGUAAACCUCUUUUCUCAAGGAAGAAGACCUGACGGUACUUGAGGAAUAAGCCACGGCUAAUUCCGUGCCAGCAGCCGCGGUAAUACGGGAGUGGCAAGCGUUAUCCGGAAUUAUUGGGCGUAAAGCGUCCGCAGGCGGCCUUGUAAGUCUGUUGUUAAAGCGUGGAGCUCAACUCCAUUUAAGCAAUGGAAACUACAAGGCUGGAGUGUGGUAGGGGCAGAGGGAAUUCCCGGUGUAGCGGUGGAAUGCGUAGAUAUCGGGAAGAACACCAGUGGCGAAGGCGCUCUGCUGGGCCAUAACUGACGCUCAUGGACGAAAGCCAGGGGAGCGAAAGGGAUUAGAUACCCCUGUAGUCCUGGCCGUAAACGAUGAACACUAGGUGUCGGGGGAAUCGACCCCCUCGGUGUCGUAGCCAACGCGUUAAGUGUUCCGCCUGGGGAGUACGCACGCAAGUGUGAAACUCAAAGGAAUUGACGGGGGCCCGCACAAGCGGUGGAGUAUGUGGUUUAAUUCGAUGCAACGCGAAGAACCUUACCAGGGUUUGACAUCCUGCGAACCCCUGAGAAAUCGGGGGGUGCCUUCGGGAGCGCAGAGACAGGUGGUGCAUGGCUGUCGUCAGCUCGUGUCGUGAGAUGUUGGGUUAAGUCCCGCAACGAGCGCAACCCACGUCUUUAGUUGCCAGCAUUCAGUUGGGCACUCUAGAGAGACCGCCGGUGAUAAACCGGAGGAAGGUGUGGAUGACGUCAAGUCAUCAUGCCCCUUACAUCCUGGGCUACACACGUACUACAAUGCUACGGACAAAGGGCAGCAAGCUCGCGAGAGUUAGCAAAUCCCAUAAACCGUGGCUCAGUUCAGAUCGUAGGCUGCAACUCGCCUACGUGAAGGAGGAAUCGCUAGUAAUCGCAGGUCAGCAUACUGCGGUGAAUACGUUCCCGGGCCUUGUACACACCGCCCGUCACACCAUGGAAGUUGGCCAUGCCCGAAGUCGUUACUCCAACCCUUGUGGAGGAGGACGCCGAAGGUGGGGCUGAUGACUGGGGUGAAGUCG
rnacentral:rRNA from 1 species